GACGAACGCUGGCGGCGUGCCUAAUACAUGCAAGUCGAACGCAGUGGGGACGGGUGAGUAACACGUGGGUAACCUCCCCUCAGAGGGGAUAACACUUGGAAACAGGUGCUAAACCGAUCCUGAUGGAUGGACCCGGGGUGCAUUAGCUAGUGGGUGGGGUAACGGCUCACCAAGGCCACGAUGCAUAGCUGACCUGGGAGGGUGAUCGGCCACACUUGAACUGCGACACGGCCCAGACUCCGACGGGAGGCAGCAGUAGGGAAUGUUCGGCAAUGGACGAAAGUCUGACCGAGCAACGCCGCGGGAGUGAAGAAGGUUGUCGGAUCGUAAAGCUCUGUUGUUAGAGAAGCGGUAUCUAACCAGAAAGCCACGGCUAACUACGUGCCAGCAGCCGCGGUAAUAC
rnacentral:rRNA from 1 species